GACGAACCGUGCGAGCGUUGUUCGGAAUCACUGGGCUUAAAGGGCGCGUAGGCGGUCUGCCGCGUCCGUGGUGAAAUCCUCCCGCUCAACGGGAGAACGGCCUCGGAUACGGGCGGCCUCGAGGGGGGUAGGGGCAUCUGGAACUGUGAGUGGAGCGGUGAAAUGCGUUGAUAUUCACAGGAACUCCGGUGGCGAAGGCGGCUCACUGGCCCGGUACUGACGCUGAGGUGCGAAAGCGUGGGGAGCAAACAGG
rnacentral:rRNA from 1 species